rnacentral:misc_RNA from 1 species
GAUGAAGAACGUAGCGAAAUGCGAUACUUGGUGUGAAUUGCAGAAUCCCGUGAACCAUCGAGUCUUUGAACGCAAGUUGCGCCCGAAGCCAUCAGGUUGAGGGCACGUCUGCCUGGGCGUCACAUAUCGUUGCCCAAUGCCUAUUGCAGUGCAAUAGGAAUUUCUAGGGCGAAUGAUGGCUUCCCGUGAGCGUUGUUGCCUCGCGGUUGGUUAAAAAUCGAGUCCUUGGUAGGGUGUGCCAUGGUAGAUGGUGGUCGAGUUAGAACGAUACCGAUCAUGUGCAUGCUCCCCAAAAUAUGGCCUCUAUGACCCACACGCGUCUUUUGACGCUCAUGACGAGACCUCAGGUCAGGCGGGGCUACCCGCUGAAUUUAAGCAUAUCAAUAAGCGGAGGA